CCUACGGGUGGCAGCAGUGAGGAAUAUUGGUCAAUGGGCGGGAGCCUGAACCAGCCAAGUAGCGUGCAGGAUGACGGCCCUACGGGUUGUAAACUGCUUUUAUACGGGAAUAACGCGCCUUACGUGUAGGGCUUUGCAUGUACCGUAUGAAUAAGGACCGGCUAAUUCCGUGCCAGCAGCCGCGGUAUUACGGAAGGUCAGGGCGUUAUCCGAGUUUAUUGGGUUUAAAGGGAGCGUAGGCGGCAUGUCACGGGUGCUGGGAAAUGUUCGGGCUCAACCCGGGCCUUGCAGCGCGAACUGGCGUGCUUGAGUCCGCGGAAAGCAGGCGGAAUUCGUGGUGUAGCGGUGAAAUGCUUAGAUAUGACGAAGAACCCCGAUUGCGAAGGCAGCUUGCUGCAGCGGAACUGACGCUGAUGCUCGAAAGCGCGGGUAUCGAACAGGAUUAGAUACCCCAGUAGUC
rnacentral:rRNA from 1 species